GCAAUUUAGGGCAUGUCCGUCCCCCUGGGCCUCUCAUAGUGCCCCAUGCCAGAGCAAACUGUGACCUUGAACUAUUGCCUGGCCUCAGCCCAUAGGCAGCAGGCACUGAAAAGUGGGUUACCCAGUG
rnacentral:snoRNA from 1 species